rnacentral:rRNA from 1 species
AUUAAACGCUGGCGGCAGGCCUAACACAUGCAAGUCGAACGAGUGGCGGACUGGUGAGUAAUGUCUGGGAAACUGCCCGACGGAGGGGGAUAACUACUGAAAACGGUAGCUAAUACCGCAUACCAUCGGAUGUGCCCAUAUGGGAUUAGCUCGUAGGGGGGGUAACGGCUCACCUAGGCGCCGAUCCCUAGCUGGCCUGAGAGGAUGACCAGCCACACUGGAACUGAGACACGGUCCAGACUCCUACGUGAGGCAGCAGUGGGGAAUAGUGCACAAUGGGCGCAAGCCUGAUGCAGCCAUGCCGCGUGUAUGAAGAAGGCCUUCGGGUUGUAAAGUACUUUCAGCGAGGAGGCGUUACUCGCAGAAGAAGCACCGGCUAACUCCGUGCCAGCCGCCGCGGUAAUUC